rnacentral:rRNA from 1 species
AGCGAACGCUGGCGGCAGGCCUAGCACAUGCAAGUCGAACGAUCCUUCGGGAUAGUGGCGGACGGGUGAGUAACACGUGGGAACGUGCCCUUUGGUUCGGAACAACUCAGGGAAACUUGAGCUAAUACCGAAUGUGCCCUUCGGGGGAAAGAUUUAUCGCCAUUGGAGCGGCCCGCGUCUGAUUAGCUAGUUGGUGAGGUAAUGGCUCACCAAGGCGACGAUCAGUAGCUGGUCUGAGAGGAUGAUCAGCCACAUUGGGACUGAGACACGGCCCAAACUCCUACGGGAGGCAGCAGUGGGGAAUCUUGCGCAAUGGGCGAAAGCCUGACGCAGCCAUGCCGCGUGAAUGAUGAAGGCCUUAGGAUUGUAAAAUUCUUUCACCGGGGACGAUAAUGACGGUACCCGGAGAAGAAGCUCCGGCUAACUUCGUGCCAGCAGCCGCCGUAACAC